rnacentral:rRNA from 1 species
CCUGUAUGUUAAACGAGAAGACUUUAGAUAUGAUCCAGAGUACCACGGGACACGUGAAACCCUGUGGGAAGCAGGAGGGACCACCCUCCAAGGCUAAAUACUACCUAGUGACCGAUAGCGUAUAGUACCGUGAGGGAAAGGUGAAAAGAACCCCGGGAGGGGAGUGAAAUAGAACCUGAAACCCUGCACUUACAAGCUGUGGAAGCACAUUUCUUGUGUGACCGCGUACUUUUUGUAGAACGGGCCAACGAGUUACGUUAAGUAGCAAGGUUAAGCACUUAAGGUGCGGAGCCGUAGCGAAAGCGAGUUUUAACUGAGCGUUCAGUUACUUGACGUAGACCCGAAACCGGGCGACCUACCCAUGAGCAGGAUGAAGCGAAAGUAAAAUUUCGUGGAGGUCCGAACCCACGAGCGUUGAAAAGCUCGGGGAUGACUUGUGGGUAGCGGUGAAAUUCCAAUCGAGCCCGGAGAUAGCUGGUUCUCCCCGAAAUAGCUUUAGGGCUAGCCUCAAGGUGAGAGAUACGGAGGUAGAGCACUGAAUGUCCUAGGGGGUAUUGCACCUACCGAAGACUAUCAAACUCCGAAUGCCGUCAUCUUAUACUUGGGAGUCAGACUGUGGGUGAUAAGAUUCAUAGUCGAAAGGGCAACAGCCCAGAUCGUCAGCUAAGGUCCCUAAAUGUAAGUUAAGUGGUAAAGGAUGUGGGAUUCCACAGACAACCAGGAUGUUGGCUUAGAAGCUGCCACUCAUUCAAAGAGUGCGUAAUAGCUCACUGGUCGAGUGAUCCUGCGCCGAAGAUUUCCGGGGCUAAAACUUACUACCGAAGCUACGGCAUCAGUAAUGAUGGGUAGGGGAGCUUCCCAUACGGGGUGAAGCAUGACCGUAAGGACAUGUGGACAGUAUGGGAGUGAGAAUGUUGGCAUGAGUAGCGAGAUGUGGGUGAGAAUCCCACAGGCCGUAAACCCAAGGUUUCCAGGGGAAGGUUCGUCCGCCCUGGGUUAGUCGGGACCUAAGCUGAGGCCGAAAGGCGUAGGUGAUGGACAACAGGUUGAUAUUCCUGUACUACCGAUAACCGUUUGAGAGAAGGGAUGACACAGUAGGAUAAGCUAAGCACACUGUUGGUUAUGUGUGCCCAAGCAUUGAGGCAGUCAAAGUAGGCAAAUCCGCUUUGAUAAUGCUGGGAUGUGAUGGGGAGCGAAAUUUAGUAGCGAAGUAGCUGAUUUCACACUGUCAAGAAAAGUCUCUAUCGAGGUUAAAGGUACCCGUACCGCAAACCGACACAGGUGGGUGAGGAGAGUAUCCUAAGGCCAGCGAGAGAACUGUUGUUAAGGAACUCGGCAAAAUGACCCCGUAACUUAGGGAUAAGGGGUGCCACCAUCAGGUGGCCGCAGAGAAUAGGCCCAAGCGACUGUUUACCAAAAACAUAGGUUUCUGCUAAGUCGCAAGACGAUGUAUAGGAGCUGACGCCUGCCCGGUGCUGGAAGGUUAAGGGGAUCUGUUAGAGCAAUCGAAGCAGUGAACUUAAGCCCCAGUAAACGGCGGCCGUAACUAUAACGGUCCUAAGGUAGCGAAAUUCCUUGUCGGGUAAGUUCCGACCCGCACGAAAGGCGUAACGAUUUGGGCACUGUCUCAACAACAGACUCGGUGAAAUUGUAAUUCCGGUGAAGAUGCCGGAUACCUGCGACAGGACGGAAAGACCCCAUGGAGCUUUACUGUAGCUUGACAUUGGGUCUUGGUACUACAUGUACAGGAUAGGUGGGAGGCUUUGAAACCAGGACGCCAGUUUUGGCGGAGCCAUCCUUGGGAUACCACCCUUGUAGUACUGGGACUCUAACCAUAGGCCAUGAAUCUGGUCUUGGGACACUGUCAGGUGGGCAGUUUGACUGGGGCGGUCGCCUCCCAAAAGGUAACGGAGGCGCUCAAAGGUUCUCUCAGUACGGUCGGAAAUCGUACGUAGAGUGUAAAGGCAAAAGAGAGCUUGAUUGCAAGACAUACAGGUCGAGCAAGGAUGAAAAUCGGACUUAGUGAUCCGGUGGUUCUGCGUGGAAGGGCCAUCGCUCAACGGAUAAAAGCUACCCUGGGGAUAACAGGCUUAUCUCCCCCAAGAGUCCACAUCGACGGGGAGGUUUGGCACCUCGAUGUCGGCUCAUCACAUCCUGGGGCUGUAGUAGGUCCCAAGGGUUGGGCUGUUCGCCCAUUAAAGUGGUACGCGAGCUGGGUUCAGAACGUCGUGAGACAGUUCGGUCCCUAUCCGUCGCAGGCGUAGGAAAUUUGAGAAGACCUGUCCUUAGUACGAGAGGACCGGGAUGGACGUACCUCUGGUGUACCAGUUGUUCUGCCAAGGGCAUGGCUGGGUAGCUAUGUACGGAAUGGAUAAGCGCUGAAAGCAUCUAAGCGCGAAGCCAACUUCAAGAUAAGAUUUCCCACCGCAAGGGUAAGACCCCAGAAAGACUAUCUGGUUGAUAGGUCGAAGGUGUAAGUGCAGCAAUGU